AUUGAACGCUGGCGGAAUGCUUUACACAUGCAAGUCGAACGGCAGCACGGACUUCGGUCUGGUGGCGAGUGGCGAACGGGUGAGUAACAUAUCGGAACGUAUCCAAUAAUGGGGGAUAACUAAUCGAAAGGUUGGCUAAUACCGCAUACGCCCUACGGGGGAAAGCUAGGGACCUUCGGGCCUGGCGUUAAUGGAGCGGCCGAUAUCUGAUUAGCUAGUUGGUGGGGUAAAGGCCUACCAAGCCGACGAUCCAUAGCUGGUUUGAGAGGAUGAUCAGCCACACUGGGACUGAGACACGGCCCAGACUCCUACGGGAGGCUG
rnacentral:rRNA from 1 species